rnacentral:rRNA from 1 species
GAUGAACGCUGGCGGCGUGCCUAAUACAUGCAAGUCGAGCGAACAGAUACGGAGUUUGCGGCGUGGACGUGAGGGGCGGAGGGGUGAAAAACGCGUGGAUAACCCACCUAUAAGACGGGGAAAACUACGGGAAAGGGGAUCUAAUAGCGGAUAACAUAUUGAACCGCAGGGGGGGAUGGAGAGAUGCGGCGGUGGUGGCACGUAUAGAGGGAUCCGAGCGGUAUGGGCUAGUUGGUAGGGUCACGGCUUACCAAGGCAACGAUCCGUGAACGAGGGGAUAGGGUGAUAGCCGACCCUGGAGGUGGGCCGCCGUCCAUGCUCCUACGAGACGCAGCAGUAGCGUAUCUUACGCAAUGGGGGAAAGCCUGACGGAGCAACGCCGCGUGAGUUAUGAAGGUCUUCGGAUCGUAAAACUCUGCUACCAGGUAAGAACCGCUGUGUAAGUAACUGUGCCCAUCGUGACGGUACCUGGUCAGAAAGCCCCGGCUAACUACGUG